ACCAGGUUGGCCGAGUGGUUUAAGGCGCCAGACUUAAGAUCUGGUCUCCGAAUGGAGGCGUGGGUUCGAACCCCACACAUGGUA